AUAAGUGGGGAACAACAGUUGGAAACGACUGCUAAUACCGCAUAAUCUACGUGAGUAGGAAAGGUGGCCUCUUAACAAUGCUGCCGCUUAUGGAUGAGCCCGCGUCUGAUUAGCUAGUUGGUGGGGUAAAGGCCUACCAAGGCGACGAUCAGUAGCCGGCCUGAGAGGGUGAACGGCCACACUGGGACUGAGACACGGCCCAGACUCCUACGGGAGGCAGCAGUGGGGAAUAUUGCGCAAUGGGGGAAACCCUGACGCAGCGACGCCGCGUGAGCGAAGAAGGCCUUAGGGUUGUAAAGCUCUGUUUUAAGGGACGAAUGUUCAUGGGAGUAAUAUGCCUAUGAAAUGACGGUACCUUAAGAGGAAGCCCCGGCUAACUACGUGCCAGCAGCCGCGGUAAGACGUAGGGGGCGAGCGUUGUCCGGAAUUACUGGGCGUAAAGAGCACGUAGGCGGGAACUUAAGUCAGGUGUGAAAGACCGGGGCUCAACCUCGGGUAUGCACUUGAAACUGGGUUUCUUGAGGGCAGGAGAGGAAAGCAGAAUUCCUGGUGUAGCGGUGAAAUGCGUAGAAAUCAGGAGGAAUACCAGUGGCGAAGGCGGCUUUCUGGACUGACCCUGACGCUGAGGUGCGAAAGCGUGGGUAGCAAACAGGAUUAGAUACCCUGGUAGUCCACGCCGUAAACGAUGGAUACUAGGUGUGGGAGGUAUCGACCCCUUCCGUGCCGCAGCUAACGCAAUAAGUAUCCCGCCUGGGGAGUACGGUCGCAAGGCUGAAACUCAAAAGAAUUGACGGA
rnacentral:rRNA from 1 species